GACGAACGCUGGCGGCGUGCUUAACACAUGCCAGUCGAACGGAAAGGCCCUGCUUUUGUGGGGUGCUCGAGUGGCGAACGGGUGAGUAACACGUGAGUAACCUGCCCUUGACUUUGGGAUAACUUCAGGAAACUGGGGCUAAUACCGGAUAGGAGCUCCUGCUGCAUGGUGGGGGUUGGAAAGUUUCGGCGGUUGGGGAUGGACUCGCGGCUUAUCAGCUUGUUGGUGGGGUAGUGGCUUACCAAGGCUUUGAAGGGUAGCCGGCCUGAGAGGGUGACCGGCCACAUUGGGACUGCGAUACGGCCCAGACUCCUACGGGAGGCAGCAGUGGGGAAUAUUGCACAAUGGGCGGACGCCUGAUGCAGCAACGCCGCGUGCGGGAUGACGGGCUUCGGGUUGUAAACCGAUUUCGCCUGUGACGAAGCGUGAGUGACGGCAAUGGGUAAAGAAGCACCGGCUAACUACGUG
rnacentral:rRNA from 1 species